rnacentral:piRNA from 1 species
UACACAGCAUCAUGUGCAGCCU